CAAGAGCAGGGGAUAAUGUUUUUCAAUCAGUGGACAACCCUUUGAAAGUUUCACCGUGAAUGGUAACCGUUUAUUUCAAACUAAAUGGAUUGUGCCACUUCCAUGGAGGUGGUACAUACAUACCCAUCACCCAACUUCGUCUGCGUCGCUCCUGCCUUGUAAGAGUGCACGAAACUUAAACAGAUGUUCAGCUCAUCUGCUUCGUGUGGCCAGUUCUUAUACCACCCCCACCCCCAGGAUGGAACCUUCUGACUCACUUUUAUCUUCUUAUUUUUGAGUGCUCCAACAUCAGAGGGCAGCUGGUCACAAGCACGGAGUCAACUCCUUUCCAAAGUCAAUAUGCAGCUUCUGACUGGGUUAGCCGUAUCGACUUCGGAGAAGAAUGGGCGUGCACACCACGUGAGAGCACCACGUCUCUGAAUGGGUGCUUUCAGGGCUUUGUUGGCAAGAAGCACAUUCAAGAAAACCAGGUUUGAUAAUCCAUCAUCGGAUUUCAGCACUUGCUUUGUGGGAUCCCAUCUCAUCACUUGCUACAGUAUAUAUUAUUAUUCAUUAUAUAAGUUUGUUAACGGCGUAUUUAUUUGAGUGAGUCUCCCUCUAAA
rnacentral:lncRNA from 1 species